AAUCUGUGGAUCACAGCGACUUCAUUCCUCACAUCGUCGACGGGCUCCAGCGUCUGUCUGUCCACGUCACAGCCGCCGAAAACGACGAGGACAACAACAACAACAACGACAACGUUGCACAGAGCAGAAAAUCAGUGAAGCCUGACCGCCUCUGACAACACGCCGCUGAGAGACGAGGCCGCCGCGCCGCGCCGGGCACGUACGCAGCGCCGCUUCCAAGCCGAGGGAACAAAGAGGAGGGCGAAAGGAACCCAACGUGAGCUCGACCUGUGGCCGACAUCACGGGAAGCGUGGAAGGGUGAAGGUGGGGGUGUGAGCGCUUUCUCUCCACACACACACACACACACACACACAGACACACUAUAGCGAGCACAGCCCCGGUUCUCACACCAUCAGCUGUGACCUGGUUAGCUUUAAGCCGCUGUUUGAGCCUGGCCCUUAGUCGAGGUUGGCUGCUCAGACAGGGCAAUAGUUUGCACUCUCACACACACACACGCAAGUGGAGACACACACACACACACACACACUGGCCGCUGUGGCUAAUUGAUUGGCCGGGCCAGGAGGUCCAGGCCUUUAUGGCUCGUGGCGAGGAGCCAUGAAUAUCUCUGUUUCAUUUGGACUUCACCCGCGGUGGGAAACGGGGAACCAGUGUGGGAACUAAAAGCUUCCAGGUUUGAAUAUUUAUCGUCCUAAAAACUCUGCGUGCCGAGACGACGUCCUUCCCGCCUCGAGGCGAUCCAUAGCUUCACUCGGGAGAAAUAAAAUACUGCAUCUGCGAGCCGGUUCCACAGUCCUCAUACAGUAAACGUCUUUAAUCACUUCCAUGCACGUCGACGUCUCGUGUGCAUCAGAUGGUCAUGCAUGCAGAGUCAUCCCUUAUCUCCUCGCGGAAAGGAGAGGAAGCAAGGAGACAGUGAGGAAAUGGAGUCUCGGAGAAAGAAAACACAACUUGGCAGCAGGAGUUGAGGGAGUGGUGAGAGGACCGCCGCAG
ensembl:lncRNA